rnacentral:rRNA from 1 species
UACGUAGGGGGCAAGCGUUGUCCGGAUUUAUUGGGCGUAAAGAGCGUGUAGGCGGCUUGGUAGGUCUCGCGUCAAAACCUGAGGCUCAACCUCAGUUCGCGUGGGAAACCACCUAGCUAGAGUCCGAGAGAGGAUGGCGGAAUUCCUAGUGUAGAGGUGAAAUUCGUAGAUAUUCGCAAGAACACCAGUGGCGAAGGCGGCUCACUGGCCCGAUACUGACGCUGAGGCACGAAAGCGUGGGGAGCAAACAGG